CAAAAUAAAGCAAUAAAAAGCGUAUGUCACCGACCUUUCAAUAAAGUUAUAAGUAAUUUUCAUGUUUUUUUCUUGUUCAUUUUGAAGAAAAGAGUUGUCUUUCUUCAGAACAUUGCAUCUGACGUCAUAGUACAAACUUUCCUUGCUGGCGCACUAUUUGAAAAAAAUCGCAAAUUGGACGUUUGAAACCCACAUUUAAAUUUCCAAGAAUGACAACUAUAUUCACCUA
rnacentral:lncRNA from 1 species